ensembl:scaRNA
GUGGCUGUCUUCACUGCUGGCUGCAUUGGUGAGAAGUGCACUGCAGCCAGAAGCAGCCAUGGACAGCAACAUGAGUGGUUCCUGCCGACAGGGUCUGCAGAGUUAUCAGAUGUUCUGUGCGAUGGUUCCAUACAUU